rfam:Candidatus Sungbacteria bacterium RIFCSPHIGHO2_02_FTLL_51_29 rifcsphigho2_02_scaffold_15979, whole genome shotgun sequence.
GGGCCAUUAGCACAGUGGCAGUGCGCCCGGUUUGCAUCCGGGAUGCGGGAGUUCGAUUCUCCCAUGGUCCA